AUCUACCUAAAGAAUAGUUAAUGUGACUUCCAGAACUCCUGUUUUGGAAUUCAGGGAAAAGGUACCGUGUCAGCAAAAAUGGAGGGAGGGAUUGGCUCUGCCUGGGUAAUGGAAGAAAUGUCAGUGCUGGCCUCACAGAGCCCUGGAUGCUCUCCCGGGGUUUAGAGAAGACGCUACUGCCCACCACUAACGCUUAGCAGGAA